rnacentral:antisense_RNA from 1 species
CUUGACCGAGCCGAGCCAGAGCGGGGCCCCGGUCCGGUCCUGGCCGUAGGUGGCGAGCAGUGCCUGCGCCUC